AUGGCUCAUUAAAUCAGUUUUGGUUCAUUUGUAUGUCCUACAUAUAUGAAUAACUGCGGUAACCCUGCAGCUAAUGCAUGCUAUUGCUCUUCUACGGAGAGAACUUUUACUAGCAUAACUGGACCCAUCGGCACGGCAUCGAUGGUAAAUGAUGAAUACUGAGUAACUGAAGGACCUUCAUACGCUAUAUACAGCGGAAGGCGAUGCAUUCGAAUAUCUGCCCUAUCAACUAUGACGGUAGUGUAACGGACUACCGUGGUUGUGACGGGUGACGGGGAAUCAGGGUUCGAUUCCGGAGAGGGAGCCUGAGAAACGGCUACCACUUUCAAGAAAGGCAGCAGGCACGCAAAUUACCCAAUGUCGGGACGACGAGGUAGUGACGAAAAAUAACGAUAUGAGCCCAUCGGGUUUGUAAUCGGAAUGGAAGGGAUUUAACAAAUCCCUUGAGGAUCUAGUAGAGGGCAAGUCUGGUGCCAGCAGCCGCGGUAACACCAGCCUCUACAAGCAUAUGCAAAAGUUGCUGCGUUUGAAAAGCUCAUAGUUGGAUCCGUAGUCUGUUCAUCUUCUUUUACGGUCCAGUCAGUUGUACUGAGUUCGUAGACGUUGUUCUGGACUGUCCCUUCGUUAAGGGUGUUUGCACUUCAUUGUGUCGAACUCUCGGAACGGAGUAUUUACCUUGAGUAAAUUAGAGUGCUCAAAGCAAGCUUAUGAUUGAAUAAUAAAGCAUGGAAUAAUGGAGGAGGCCUGCUCUCUAUAUAGCACCAGUUGCUGGAGUGGCAGUAAUGGUUAAAAGGAACAGUCGGGGGUAUUUGUAUUGCUACGUUAGAGGUGAAAUUCUUGGAUCGUGGCAAGACAAACUAACGCGAAGGCAUUUACCAAGAAUGUUUUCAUUAAUCAAGAACGAAAGUCAGAGCAUUGAAGAGGAUUAGAUACCCUCGUAAUUCUGACCAUAAACGAUACCAACUUACGAUUUGUCAAAGUCCAUUUCUGACUUGACAGGGAGUUAACCGGGAAACCAAAGUUUUUUGGCUCCGGGGGAAGUAUGGUUGCAAAAUCGAAACUUAAAGGAAUUGACGGAAGGGCACCACCAGGAGUGGAGCCUGCGGCUUAAUUUGACUCAACACGGGAAAACUCACCAGGUCCAGACAUCGAAAGGAUUGACAGAUUGAAUAUCUUUCAUGAUUCAAUGGGUGGUGGUGCAUGGCCGUUCUUAGUUAGUGGAGUGAUCUGUCUGGUUAAUUCCGAUAACGAACGAGAUCCUAGCCAUUUAAAUAGAGGUAGUAACUUCGGUUGCUAUAAACUUCUUAGAGGAACUAUGCGGAACAUAAUACCGCAAGGAAGUGGGGCUAUAACAGGUCUGUGAUGCCCUUAGAUGUCCUGGGCUGCACGCGCGCUACACUGAGUACAGAAGUGUGAUUGUGGAAACCUAGUCCGAAAUGGUCCGGGUAACCACCAAAAUGUACUGAUUAUGAUUGGGAUAGACUCUUGUAACUAGUAGUCUUGAACGAGGAAUUCCUAGUAAUUUCAAGUCAACAACUUGAUGUGAUUACGUCCCUGCCCUUUGUACACACCGCCCGUCGCUACUACUGAUUGGAUGAUUAAGCAAGAACUUCUGAAACUUGCAGCUGCGGCUUCGUGCUAAAGCAGUGAGCGGAAGAGGAUCGAGUUUUGUUGUCUA
rnacentral:rRNA from 1 species